rnacentral:rRNA from 1 species
AUUGAACGCUGGCGGGAUGCUUAACACAUGCAAGUCGAACGAGUGGCGGACGGGUGAGUAAUAUCUAGGAAACUGCCCGGUGGAGGGGGAUAACUACUGGAAACAGUGGCUAAUACCGCAUACCAUCGGAGCGGCCGAUAUCGGAUUAGCUGGUUGGUGGGGUAACGGCUCACCAAGGCGACGAUCCCUAGCUGGUUUGAGAGGAAGACCAGCCACACUGGGACUGAGACACGGCCCAGACGCCUACGGGAGGCAGCAGUGGGGAAUUUUGCACAAUGGGCGAAAGCCUGAUGCAGCCAUGCCGCGUGUAUGAUGAAGGCCUUCGGGUUGUAAAGUACUUUUGGCAGGGAAGCGGUAUCCGCAGAAGAAGCACCGGCUAACUACGUGCCAGCCGCCGCGGUAAUAC